UCAACGGAGAGUUUGAUCCUGGCUCAGGACGAACGCUGGCGGCGUGCUUAACACAUGCAAGUCGAACGGUGACGGAGGAGCUUGCUCCUCCUGAUCAGUGGCGAACGGGUGAGUAACACGUGAGUAACCUGCCCCAGACUCUGGAAUAACCCCGGGAAACCGGAGCUAAUACCGGAUACGAGACGGAGAGGCAUCUCUACCGUCUGGAAAGUUUUUCGGUCUGGGAUGGACUCGCGGCCUAUCAGCUAGUUGGUGAGGUAACGGCUCACCAAGGCGACGACGGGUAGCCGGCCUGAGAGGGCGACCGGCCACACUGGGACUGAGACACGGCCCAGACUCCUACGGGAGGCAGCAGUGGGGAAUAUUGCACAAUGGGCGAAAGCCUGAUGCAGCGACGCCGCGUGAGGGAUGACGGCCUUCGGGUUGUAAACCUCUUUCAGUAGGGGAAGAAGCGAAAGUGACGGUACCUACAGAAGAAGCACCGGCUAACUACGUGCCAGCAGCCGCGGUAAUACGUAGGGUGCGAGCGUUGUCCGGAAUUAUUGGGCGUAAAGAGCUUGUAGGCGGUUUGUCGCGUCUGCCGUGAAAAUCCGGGGCUCAACUCCGGACUUGCGGUGGGUACGGGCAGACUAGAGUGUGGUAGGGGAGACUGGAAUUCCUGGUGUAGCGGUGAAAUGCGCAGAUAUCAGGAGGAACACCGAUGGCGAAGGCAGGUCUCUGGGCCACCACUGACGCUGAGAAGCGAAAGCGUGGGGAGCGAACAGGAUUAGAUACCCUGGUAGUCCACGCCGUAAACGUUGGGAACUAGGUGUGGGCCUCAUUCCACGAGGUCUGUGCCGCAGCUAACGCAUUAAGUUCCCCGCCUGGGGAGUACGGCCGCAAGGCUAAAACUCAAAGGAAUUGACGGGGGCCCGCACAAGCGGCGGAGCAUGUGGAUUAAUUCGAUGCAACGCGAAGAACCUUACCAAGGCUUGACAUAUACCGGAAACAUCUAGAGAUAGGUGCCCCCGCAAGGUCGGUAUACAGGUGGUGCAUGGUUGUCGUCAGCUCGUGUCGUGAGAUGUUGGGUUAAGUCCCGCAACGAGCGCAACCCUCGUUCUAUGUUGCCAGCGCGUAAUGGCGGGGACUCAUAGGAGACUGCCGGGGUCAACUCGGAGGAAGGUGGGGAUGACGUCAAAUCAUCAUGCCCCUUAUGUCUUGGGCUUCACACAUGCUACAAUGGCCGGUACAAAGGGCUGCGAAAUCGCGAGAUGGAGCGAAUCCCAAAAAACCGGUCUCAGUUCGGAUUGGGGUCUGCAACUCGACCCCAUGAAGUCGGAGUCGCUAGUAAUCGCAGAUCAGCAACGCUGCGGUGAAUACGUUCCCGGGCCUUGUACACACCGCCCGUCAAGUCACGAAAGUCGGUAACACCCGAAGCCGGUGGCCCAACCCUUGUGGAGGGAGCCGUCGAAGGUGGGACUGGCGAUUGGGACUAAGUCGUAACAAGGUAGCCGUACCGGAAGGUGCGGCUGGAUCACCUCCUUU
rnacentral:rRNA from 1 species